rnacentral:rRNA from 1 species
CCUGCCAGUAGUCAUAUGCUUGUCUCAAAGAUUAAGCCAUGCAUGUGUAAGUAUGAAUUAAUUCAGACUGUGAAACUGCGAAUGGCUCAUUAUAUCAGUUAUAGUUUAUUUGAUAGUCCCUACUACUUGGAUAACCGUAGUAAUUCUAGAGCUAAUACAUGCAUUCAAGCCCCGACUUCUGGAAGGGGUGUAUUUAUUAGAUAAAAAACCAACGCCCUUCGGGGCUCCUUGGUGAUUCAUAAUAACUAAACGAAUCGCAUGGCCUUGCGCCGGCGAUGGUUCAUUCAAAUUUCUGCCCUAUCAACUUUCGAUGGUAGGAUAGUGGCCUACUAUGGUGGUGACGGGUGACGGAGAAUUAGGGUUCGAUUCCGGAGAGGGAGCCUGAGAAAUGGCUACCACAUCCAAGGAAGGCA